AACUGGGAUUAGAUACCCCACUAUUCUAGGAUGUAAAAUGGAGUAAUUUUACCAGAGUACUAUGAAUGUUGUAAAUUUAAAACUCAAAGAACUUGGCGGUGUUUUAGACCAUUUAGGGGAACCUGUCUCGUAAUCGACAAUCCGCGUUAUACCUGACCUUUCUUUGUUUUUCAGUAUGUAUACCGUUGUCGUCAGGUAACUUUUUAGAAAAAGGGAGUUGGCUGGGAAAAUAAGGUAAUUUAAUACGUCAAAUCAAGGUGCAGCUAAUAGAAAGGGGAGGAUGGGUUACAGUUAUAUAAUUAUAAUUACGAAUAAUUAUAUGGAAAGUGUAAAUUAUGAAGGUGGACUUGAAAGUAAAUUGGGUUAUAAGGAUAAUUUGAAUAAGGCUCUGAAACGUGU
rnacentral:rRNA from 1 species